rnacentral:lncRNA from 1 species
GCCUUCAUCAAAUCUCCUACUGACCUACAGACCCUGCAUCGAAUUGCAAAUAUGAUAAGGGCUUUCGGUAUCCAAUACCCAGGCAGUAGUAUCACAAAUGAAAAAGUUGCAAGGUGUUAUCAUAUAAGUACCUUGCUUCUUCUUUGGCCUGUUCGGGUCCAGUGAGUCAAUGUAUAGAGGACAGUUCCUCUUCCAAUGCCCCUACUUCUUGCAAAAGAAGCACUCCGCCUGGCUCUGGUCGGGUUUGCGCUUCUUGGUCUGACCCUGUGCAGACAUCCCAGCAUGCGGCUGCACCUUCUUAUUCUUCUUCUUCUUGUUCUUCUUCCCUUUCUUAAAGGGUCGACGACCAGAAGAAGACCCUCCCAUAAUAUUUACCGACUCCUUAUGGAGCUGGUGGUCUUUCUCAAAGUUCUGCAGUAACCCCAACAAGCCGUGGUAGUUCACUGCAGGCUUUGUCAUUCGAAAAUG